AUUGAACGCUGGCGGCAGGCUUAACACAUGCAAGUCGAACGAGUGGCGGACGGGUGAGUAAUGCCCGGGAACCUGCCCGAUGGCGGGGGAUAACUACUCGAAAGGGUAGCUAAUACCGCAUACCAUCGGAUGUGCCGAGAUGGGAUUAGCUAGUGGGUGGGGUAAGGGCUCACCUAGGCGACGAUCCCUUGCUGGUAUGAGAGGACGACCGGCCAGCCUGGAACGGAGCCACGGUCCAGACUCCUCCGGGAGGCAGCAGUGGGGAAUAUGGGACAAUGGGCGAAAGCCUGAUGCAGCCAUUCCGCGUGUAUGAAGAAGGCCUUCGGGUUGUAAAGUACUUUCAGCGGGGAAGCGUUACCCGCAGAAGAAGCACCGGCUAACUCCGUGCCAGCAGCCGCGGUAAUUC
rnacentral:rRNA from 1 species